rnacentral:rRNA from 4 species
GUGGGUAGUUUGACUGGGGCGGUCUCCUCCUAAAGAGUAACGGAGGAGCACGAAGGUUGGCUAAUCCUGGUCGGACAUCAGGAGGUUAGUGCAAUGGCAUAAGCCAGCUUGACUGCGAGCGUGACGGCGCGAGCAGGUGCGAAAGCAGGUCAUAGUGAUCCGGUGGUUCUGAAUGGAAGGGCCAUCGCUCAACGGAUAAAAGGUACUCCGGGGAUAACAGGCUGAUACCGCCCAAGAGUUCAUAUCGACGGCGGUGUUUGGCACCUCGAUGUCGGCUCAUCACAUCCUGGGGCUGAAGUAGGUCCCAAGGGUAUGGCUGUUCGCCAUUUAAAGUGGUACGCGAGCUGGGUUUAGAACGUCGUGAGACAGUUCGGUCCCUAUCUGCCGUGGGCGCUGGAGAACUGAGGGGGGCUGCUCCUAGUACGAGAGGACCGGAGUGGACGCAUCAC